AGUGGGAUAGCUGAGUCAGAUGGUGGUUCCAUUCCUAAAUUUCUGAGGAAUCUCCAUACUGCUUUUCAGAUUGGUUGCAACAAUUUGCAGCCCCACAAGCAAU
rnacentral:pre_miRNA from 1 species